rnacentral:rRNA from 1 species
GUCCACGCCCUAAACGGUGCACACUAGGUCUUGGCGGAUUCGACCCCUCCAGGGCCCAAGCUAACGCGUUAAGUGUGCCGCCUGAGGACUACGGCCGCAAGGCUAAAACUCAAAGGAAUUGACGGGGGCCCGCACAAGCGGUGGAGUAUGUGGCUCAAUUCGAUGCAACGCGAAGAACCUUACCAGGCCUUGACAUGCACUAGACAGACACUGAAAGGUGUUCUCCCUUCGGGGCUGGUGCACAGGUGCUGCAUGGCUGUCGU